AGUGAACGCUGGCGGUAGGCCUAACACAUGCAAGUCGAACGGCAGCACAGUAAGAGCUUGCUCUUACGGGUGGCGAGUGGCGGACGGGUGAGGAAUACAUCGGAAUCUACUUUUUCGUGGGGGAUAACGUAGGGAAACUUACGCUAAUACCGCAUACGACCUACGGGUGAAAGCAGGGGAUCUUCGGACCUUGCGCGAUUGAAUGAGCCGAUGUCGGAUUAGCUAGUUGGCGGGGUAAAGGCCCACCAAGGCGACGAUCCGUAGCUGGUCUGAGAGGAUGAUCAGCCACACUGGAACUGAGACACGGUCCAGACUCCUACGGGGGGCAGCAGUGAGGAAUAUUGGACAAUGGGCGCAAGCCUGAUCCAGCCAUACCGCGUGGGUGAAGAAGGCCUUCGGGUUGUAAAGCCCUUUUGUUGGGAAAGAAAAGCAGCAGGUUAAUACCCCGCUGUUCUGACGGUACCCAAAGAAUAAGCACCGGCUAACUUCGUG
rnacentral:rRNA from 1 species